rnacentral:rRNA from 1 species
UCUGGGACAAGCCCUGGAAACGGGGUCUAAUACCGGAUAACACUCUGUCCCGCAUGGGACGGGGUUGAAAGCUCCGGCGGUGAAGGAUGAGCCCGCGGCCUAUCAGCUUGUUGGUGGGGUGAUGGCCUACCAAGGCGACGACGGGUAGCCGGCCUGAGAGGGCGACCGGCCACACUGGGACUGAGACACGGCCCAGACUCCUACGGGAGGCAGCAGUGGGGAAUAUUGCACAAUGGGCGAAAGCCUGAUGCAGCGACGCCGCGUGAGGGAUGACGGCCUUCGGGUUGUAAACCUCUUUCAGCAGGGAAGAAGCGAGAGUGACGGUACCUGCAGAAGAAGCGCCGGCUAACUACGUGCCAGCAGCCGCGGUAAUACGUAGGGCGCAAGCGUUGUCCGGAAUUAUUGGGCGUAAAGAGCUCGUAGGCGGCUUGUUGCGUCGGUUGUGAAAGCCCGGGGCUUAACCCCGGGUCUGCAGUCGAUACGGGCAGGCUAGAGUGUGGUAGGGGAGAUCGGAAUUCCUGGUGUAGCGGUGAAAUGCGCAGAUAUCAGGAGGAACACCGGUGGCGAAGGCGGAUCUCUGGGCCAUUACUGACGCUGAGGAGCGAAAGCGUGGGGAGCGAACAGGAUUAGAUACCCUGGUAGUCCACGCCGUAAACGUUGGGAACUAGGUGUUGGCGACAUUCCACGUCGUCGGUGCCGCAGCUAACGCAUUAAGUUCCCCGCCUGG